GACGAACGCUGGCGGCGUGCUUAACACAUGCAAGUCGAACGGAAAGGCCCUGCUUUUGUGGGGUGCUCGAGUGGCGAACGGGUGAGUAACACGUGAGUAACCUGCCCUUGACUUUGGGAUAACUUCAGGAAACUGGGGCUAAUACCGGAUAGGAGCUCCUGCUGCAUGGUGGGGGUUGGAAAGUUUCGGCGGUUGGGGAUGGACUCGCGGCUUAUCAGCUUGUUGGUGGGGUAGUGGCUUACCAAGGCUUUGACGGGUAGCCGGCCUGAGAGGGUGACCGGGCACGCGGGGGAGGCGAUAGGGCGCAGUGUGCGACGGGAGGAAGCAGGGGGGGAGAGUGCGACAGGGGCGGAAGCGUGAUACAGCACCUCCGCGUGCGGGAAGGCGGCCGGGGGGUGGUAGAGCGGUUUCGCCUGGGACAAAGAGUGAGGGGCGGGAGUGGGAAAAGAAGCACCGGCUAACUACGUG
rnacentral:rRNA from 1 species